rnacentral:rRNA from 1 species
CAGCAAGAUAGAGUUUGAUCCUGGCUCAGAUUGAACGCUGGCGGCAGGCCUAACACAUGCAAGUCGAGCGGCAGCGGGAAGAAGCUUGCUUCUUUGCCGGCGAGCGGCGGACGGGUGAGUAAUGUCUGGGGAUCUGCCCGAUGGAGGGGGAUAACUACUGGAAACGGUAGCUAAUACCGCAUAACGUCGCAAGACCAAAGUGGGGGACCUUCGGGCCUCACACCAUCGGAUGAACCCAGAUGGGAUUAGCUAGUAGGUGGGGUAAUGGCCCACCUAGGCGACGAUCCCUAGCUGGUCUGAGAGGAUGACCAGCCACACUGGAACUGAGACACGGUCAGACUCCUACGGGAGGCAGCAGUGGGGAAUAUUGCACAAUGGGGGAAACCCUGAUGCAGCCAUGCCGCGUGUGUGAAGAAGGCCUUCGGGUUGUAAAGCACUUUCAGCGGGGAGGAAGGCGAUGGCGUUAAUAGCGCCAUCGAUUGACGUUACCCGCAGAUGAAGCACCGGCUAACUCCGUGCCAGCAGCCGCGGUAAUACGGAGGGUGCGAGCGUUAAUCGGAAUUACUGGGCGUAAAGCGUACGCAGGCGGUCUGUUAAGUCAGAUGUGAAAUCCCCGGGCUCAACCUGGGAACUGCAUUUGAAACUGGCAGGCUAGAGUCUCGUAGAGGGGGGUAGAAUUCCAGGUGUAGCGGUGAAAUGCGUAGAGAUCUGGAGGAAUACCGGUGGCGAAGGCGGUCCCCUGGACGAAGACUGACGCUCAGGUACGAAAGCGUGGGGAGCAAACAGGAUUAGAUACCCUGGUAGUCCACGCUGUAAACGAUGUCGAUUUGAAGGUUGUGGCCUUGAGCCGUGGCUUUCGGAGCUAACGCGUUAAAUCGACCGCCUGGGGAGUACGGCCGCAAGGUUAAAACUCAAAUGAAUUGACGGGGGCCCGCACAAGCGGUGGAGCAUGUGGUUUAAUUCGAUGCAACGCGAAGAACCUUACCUACUCUUGACAUCCAGAGAACUUGGCAGAGAUGCCUUGGUGCCUUCGGGAGCUCUGAGACAGGKGCUGCAUGGCUGUCGUCAGCUC